rnacentral:rRNA from 1 species
GACGAACGCUGGCGGCGCGCCUAACACAUGCAAGUCGAACGGAGCUUAAAGAGCUUGCUUUUUAAGCUUAGUGGCGAACGGGUGAGUAACGCGUGAGUAACCUGCCCUAGAGUGGGGGACAACAGUUGGAAACGACUGCUAAUACCGCAUAAGCCCACGGUACCGCAUGGUACUGAGGGAAAAGGAUUUAUUCGCUUUAGGAUGGACUCGCGUCCAAUUAGCUAGUUGGUGAGGUAACGGCCCACCAAGGCGACGAUUGGUAGCCGGACUGAGAGGUUGAACGGCCACAUUGGGACUGAGACACGGCCCAGACUCCUACGGGAGGCAGCAGUGGGGGAUAUUCGUCAAUGGGGGAAACCCUGAACGAGCAAUGCCGCGUGAGUGAUGAAGGCCCUAUGGGUUGUAAAACUCUGUUGUAUGGGAAGAAUGACUAUAUGAGGAAAUGCAUAUAGAAUGACGGUACCAUACCAGAAAGCUCCGGCUAACUACGUG